rnacentral:sRNA from 1 species
AUUGAUCAUCAUCGCCAUCAUCA